rnacentral:rRNA from 1 species
AAUCUAGAGCUAAUACGUGCUUACAAGCCCUGACCUCACGGAGGGGCGCGCAUUUAUUAGAUCAAAACCAAUCGGGGCUUGCCCCGUCUGCUUGGUGACUCUGGAUAACUUUUGUGCUGAUCGCAUGGCCUCUGCGCUGGCGACGUAUCUUUCAAGUGUCUGCCCUAUCAACUUACGAUGGUAGGUGAUAUGCCUACCAUGGUUAUAACGGGUAACGGGGAAUCAGGGUUCGAUUCCGGAGAGGGAGCCUGAGAAACGGCUACCACAUCUAAGGAAGGCAGCAGGGCGCGCAAAUUACCCACUCCCGGCACGGGGAGGUAGUGACGAAAAAUAACGAUACGGGACUCUUUUGAGGCCCCGUAAUUGGAAUGAGUACACUUUAAAUCCGUUAACAAGUAUCUAUUGGAGGGCAAGUCUGGUGCCAGCAGCCGCGGUAAUUCCAGCUCCAAUAGCGUAUAUUAAUGUUGCUGCAGUUAAAAAGCUCGUAGUUGGAUCUGAGGACUCGAAUUGGUGGUGCACCAUACGGUGUUACUGCCGAUUCGGCCUACCUAGUCGGUGCUCGCUCUUGGUGUUCUUAAUUGAAUGCCCUGAGUGCCCGGCAAGUUUACUUUGAAAAAAUUAGAGUGCUCAAAGCAGGCCAUUAGCCGGAAUACUUCAGCAUGGAAUAAUGGAAUAGGACUUCGGUUCUAUUUUGUUGGUUUUCGGAACCCGAGGUAAUGAUUAAGAGAGACAGACGGGGGCAUUCGUACUGCGGUGUUAGAGGUGAAAUUCUUGGAUCGCCGCAAGACGAACAACUGCGAAAGCAUUUGCCAAGAAUGUUUUCAUUAAUCAAGAACGAAAGUCAGAGGUUCGAAGACGAUCAGAUACCGUCCUAGUUCUGACCAUAAACGAUGCCAACUGGCGAUCCGAGAUCGUUUGCUUAUUGACCUCUCGGGCAGCCUCCGGGAAACCAAAGUUUUUAGGUUCCGGGGGAAGUAUGGUUGCAAAGGGAAGAGUUUCCAGUAUGGUUGCAAAGCUGGAAACUGUUCAAUUGCAACUCUGCUGUGACACCAAGUGGUCGGGUUACUUGGUCUGUUCUGGCCCGGAGUCGGUAGGGUUUCCGGCCUUGUGCUCUUUUCCUUACUGUUCUCUGUAACGCCGAAGGCGGGGCUUCCACGGUGGGGAAGCGGUUGUACAAAUCCGGCAAAUCCAGCCAAAUGGGUUCCGGACUCUGUCCAACCUGCAACUGGUAACAGCCUCGGCUGGCUAACAUUUGAGCUGGGACUCGCUUGGGAGGAGCGAGGAUAAUAUAAACCUCUAUGUGACUGAGGUGAGGAAUCUGGUUCUCGUAAAAUGGCUGGAGAUCCCGAGCCUGUAAGUCAUAAAUUAGUUCCCCCACGAGGGGAGGUGUCGAAUUGAAGCCAGUGCGUGCCCUUACUAGUUUAAGGGAUUGUAUACUUCCUUUGGUGUACCCACCUGGAAGUGCCCAAGGGGUCCUAUCCCUGCACUCCAACCCCGAUUGGAGUCAGGUGACGGCUCCUUACCUCACCAGACGCGGCCGGACCCCGGAAGGGGUCUGGGCCCCGAAGCCUGACGGCGUCGGGGUGCAGGAAGCCUCUAGGCGACCAGCCCAGCCGUGCAGAAAUGCAGUAGGCCUUUAUCUGGCUAUUAACGGUAAAUUCACCGGGCCAGUGUCUGACCGAGGUUUUGUGGCACCUAACUAGGCAAGAGGGUGGACCAGGCAGGGGCGGUUGUAUCCGAAAGGUCGCCGUCUCCCUCCGUUUUGCCUGGCUCCGCAAGGGGCGUGUCUACGUCUCCUGCUGUGGGACUCGCCGUCUCCUGUUCUCAGUUGACGGGCCAGCAGCCUAACGGCGGCUGGUUGUGGCGACCUACCGGAAGCUACACGAGAGCGGGCCUAAAGGCCCGCCCCGCAGUUGGGGGGCGGAGACCGCCGCCCCCCAAACCCCCCACGGUACACUAAAGGAAUUGACGGAAGGGCACCACCAGGAGUGGAGCCUGCGGCUUAAUUUGACUCAACACGGGAAAACUCACCCGGCCCGGACACUGUUAGGAUUGACAGAUUGAGAGCUCUUUCUUGAUUCGGUGGGUGGUGGUGCAUGGCCGUUCUUAGUUGGUGGAGCGAUUUGUCUGGUUAAUUCCGAUAACGAACGAGACUCUAGCCUGCUAAAUAGUACGCCGAUACCUUUUCGUCGGUGCUGACUUCUUAGAGGGACAAGCGUCUUGAAGACGCACGAGAUUGAGCAAUAACAGGUCUGUGAUGCCCCUUAGAUGUUCGGGCCGCCGCACGCCGCGCUACACUGAAGGGGACAGCGAGUUUUUCCUGGUUCGAAAGAACCGGGUAAUCUGUUGAAUUCCCUUCGUGACAGGGAUCGGGGCUUGCAAUUAUUCCCCGUGAACGAGGAAAUUCCCAGUAAGCGCAAGUCAUCAGCUUGCGUUGAUUACGUC